GAACUGUGCUCGCUUCGGCUACUAAAGUCGGAAUGACACAGAGAAGAUUAGCAUCGCCCCGUGCAAGGAUAGCACACAAAUUCGUGAAGCAUUCCAUAUUUUU
ensembl:snRNA U6 U6 spliceosomal RNA